GCCUUUGUCGUGUAGUGGUCAGCACGCUUGAUCUGUAACCUAGAGGUCCGUGGUUCGAUUCCCGGCGAGGGCA
rnacentral:tRNA from 1 species